UGGUUGAUCCUGCCGGAGGUUACUGCUAUCGAGGUUCGACUAAGCCAUGCGAGUCGAAUGUAGCAAUACAUGGCGUACUGCUCAGUAACACGUGGACAACCUACCCUUAGGACGGGGAUAAACCCGGGAAACUGGGUAUAAUACCCGAUAGUUCUCGAUUGCUGGAAUGCAUCGAGUACUAAAGCUCCGGCGCCUAAGGAUGGGUCUGCGGCCUAUCAGGUAGUAGUGGGUGGAGCGUACCUACUAGCCUACGACGGGUACGGGUUGUGAGAGCAAGAGCCCGGAGAUGGAUUCUGAGACACGAAUCCAGGCCCUACGGGGUGCAGCAGGCGCGAAAACUUUACAAUGGUGGAAACAGCGAUAAGGGGACCUCGAGUGGCAGGUUACAAAUCUGGCUGGCGUGAUGGCUAAAAAGCAUUGCAUAGCAAGGGCCGGGCAAGACCGGUGGCGGCCGCCGCGGUAACACCGGCGGGCUCGAGUGGUAACCGUUAUUAUGUGGGUCUAAAGGGUCUGGUAGCGGCCGGAUAAGUCUCUUGGGAAAUCUGGCAGCUUAAGUGUCAGGGUUUCAGGGGAUACUGUCUGGCUCNAGGNCGGGANAAGGUGAGAGGUACUUCNNGGGGGUAGGGGGUGAAAUCUUUGUAUCCCUUGAGGGACAGCCGGUGGGCGGAGGCGUCUCACCAAAACGGACCUGACGGCAAGGGGACNAAAGCUAGGGGGACGAACCGGAUAA
rnacentral:rRNA from 1 species